AGUGAACGCUGGCGGUAGGCCUAACACAUGCAAGUCGAACGGCAGCACAGUAAGAGCUUGCUCUUACGGGUGGCGAGUGGCGGACGGGUGAGGAAUACAUCGGAAUCUACUUUUUCGUGGGGGAUAACGUAGGGAAACUUACGCUAAUACCGCAUACGACCUACGGGUGAAAGCAGGGGAUCUUCGGACCUUGCGCGAUUGAAUGAGCCGAUGUCGGAUUAGCUAGUUGGCGGGGUAAAGGCCCACCAAGGCGACGAUCCGUAGCUGGUCUGAGAGGAUGAGCAGCCACACUGGAACUGAGACACGGUCCAGACUCCUACGGGAGGCAGCAUUGGGGAAUAUUGGACGAUGGGCGCAAGCCUGAUCCAGACAUACCGCGUGGGUGAAGAAGGCCUUCGGGUUGUAAAGCCCUUUUGUUGGGAAAGAAAAGCAGCAGGUUAAUACCCCGCUGUUCUGACGGUACCCAAAGAAUAAGCACCGGCUAACUUCGUG
rnacentral:rRNA from 1 species